rnacentral:rRNA from 2 species
GGCUCAGGACGAACGCUGGCGGCGUGCCUAAUACAUGCAAGUCGAGCGGACAGAUGGGAGCUUGCUCCCUGAUGUUAGCGGCGGACGGGUGAGUAACACGUGGGUAACCUGCCUGUAAGACUGGGAUAACUCCGGGAAACCGGGGCUAAUACCGGAUGGUUGUCUGAACCGCAUGGUUCAGACAUAAAAGGUGGCUUCGGCUACCACUUACAGAUGGACCCGCGGCGCAUUAGCUAGUUGGUGAGGUAACGGCUCACCAAGGCGACGAUGCGUAGCCGACCUGAGAGGGUGAUCGGCCACACUGGGACUGAGACACGGCCCAGACUCCUACGGGAGGCAGCAGUAGGGAAUCUUCCGCAAUGGACGAAAGUCUGACGGAGCAACGCCGCGUGAGUGAUGAAGGUUUUCGGAUCGUAAAGCUCUGUUGUUAGGGAAGAACAAGUGCCGUUCAAAUAGGGCGGCACCUUGACGGUACCUAACCAGAAAGCCACGGCUAACUACGUGCCAGCAGCCGCGGUA